UGAAUAAAUUAUUUUUUACUAUAUUCACGGCGUGAAAUAGGGGAUUACACUAUUUUUAAAAUAGAAAGUGAAUCAAUUAACAUAAUAGACUCCU
rnacentral:pre_miRNA from 1 species